AAGUAGUUUUUGCGUGAAAGUAACAAACACCCAGACAUCCAAACUUUCGCAUUUACAAUAUAAGUAAGAUAGUAAGAUAAGUAAAACCUACAAUACUUGGAAAUGGUAAGCUAUAAUGCCCAAUGCUCAUAUUAUCCUAUUCUAUCCUACUAAUGUGAGGAUGAAUGGAUGUUUGACAGUCUUUCAUACAAAAACUACUGAACAGAAUUUGAUGAAACUCUAGCGUUUUGUUUAUACUUCAAAAUACAUGGAUUUUAUAAUGUUUAUAAUGAAUAUAGGAAAAAGCUACAGUACACUAAGAAAUAUUAUUAUAAAGUCUCAUGGAUAUUAUGUAUCAUUAUUAGUUUACUGAUCUACAAAUUAUUAUAGGAUUCUAAGAAAAUUAAAGUGAAAUAAUACCUUUCUUUCUAUUAUUAUGUCUAGAUUAAUUGUAAAAAAUAUAGUGUCGGUGUUGAAGGAUCUAGGCUUGUGGUGAAUAAAUUUAUUUAUUCAUUAAUUCAUCAUAGACAAAGAGGUAUAAAUGAUGCACAAUAUUUAAAACUUAAGUGUAGCCUCAAUUUAUAAAUAAUAAUUUGAAGGACACUGUUAAAUAUACUUUAUUUCUGUUUUAUUACUAAUUUAUAUUU